AUUGAACGCUGGCGGCAUGCCUUACACAUGCAAGUCGAACGGCAGCACGGGUGCUUGCACCUGGUGGCGAGUGGCGAACGGGUGAGUAAUACAUCGGAACAUGUCCUGUAGUGGGGGAUAGCCCGGCGAAAGCCGGAUUAAUACCGCAUACGAUCUACGGAUGAAAGCGGGGGACCUUCGGGCCUCGCGCUAUAGGGUUGGCCGAUGGCUGACUAGCUAGUUGGUGGGGUAAAGGCCUACCAAGGCGACGAUCAGUAGCUGGUCUGAGAGGACGACCAGCCACACUGGGACUGAGACACGGCCCAGACUCCUACGGGAGGCAGCAGUGGGGAAUUUUGGACAAUGGGCGAAAGCCUGAUCCAGCAAUGCCGCGUGUGUGAAGAAGGCCUUCGGGUUGUAAAGCACUUUUGUCCGGAAAGAAAUCCUUGGCCCUAAUACGGUCGGGGGAUGACGGUACCGGAAGAAUAAGCACCGGCUAACUACGUG
rnacentral:rRNA from 1 species